UGCUACACACAUUUUACUUCUGGCUUGAGGU
rnacentral:piRNA from 1 species